UACGUAGGGCGCGAGCGUUGUCCGGAUUUAUUGGGCGUAAAGAGCUCGUAGGCGGUUCGACAAGUCGGGUGUGAAAACUCCGGGCUCAACCCGGAGACGCCACCCGAUACUGUCGUGACUGGAGUCCGGUAGGGGAGUGGGGAAUUCCUGGUGUAGCGGUGAAAUGCGCAGAUAUCAGGAGGAACACCGGUGGCGAAGGCGCCACUCUGGGCCGGUACUGACGCUGAGGAGCGAAAGCGUGGGUAGCAAACAGG
rnacentral:rRNA from 1 species